GAAUUCACUAGUGAUUCAGGCCUAACAGAUGCAAGUCGAACGAGAUUAUAGGGUAAGCUUGCUUACCCUAUAUGACAGUGGCGCACGGGUGCGUAACGCGUAUGCAAUCUACCUUAAUCAGGGGGAUAGCCUCUCGAAAGAGAGAUUAAUACCGCAUAACAUUAUGAUAUGGCAUCAUAUUAUAAUCAAACAUUUAUGGGAUUAAGAUGAGCAUGCGUGACAUUAGCUAGUUGGUGAGGUAACGGCUCACCAAGGCAACGAUGUCUAGGGGAUCUGAGAGGAUGACCCCCCACACUGGUACUGAGACACGGACCAGACUCCUACGGGAGGCAGCAGUAAGGAAUAUUGGUCAAUGGACGCAAGUCUGAACCAGCCAUGCCGCGUGCAGGAAGACGGCCCUACGGGUUGUAAAGUGCUUUUAUACGGGAAUAAACCUUCUUUCGUGAAAGAAGCUGAAUG
rnacentral:rRNA from 1 species